UACGGAGGAUGCGAGCGUUAUCCGGAUUUAUUGGGUUUAAAGGGUGCGUAGGCGGUUUCUUAAGUCUGAUGUGAAAGCCCACGGCUCAACCGUGGAGGGUCAUUGGAAACUGGGAAACUUGAGUGCAGAAGAGGAAAGUGGAAUUCCAUGUGUAGCGGUGAAAUGCGCAGAGAUAUGGAGGAACACCAGUGGCGAAGGCGACUUUCUGGUCUGUAACUGACGCUGAUGUGCGAAAGCGUGGGGAUCAAACAGG
rnacentral:rRNA from 1 species